GCUCCUUUACUCUGAAAUCGUGCCAUGCUGGCCAGGUAAUGUACAGUAGUCCGGCGGUCCUCUUACAUUAUUGAUUUUCAAUAGCACAUGUGUUGUAUAGAUUACUGAUUCAUACACUAUUGUUGCAGAUCUAUUCUCUUUGUGCUGAAGUUGGCUGGGGACUUUUCACGUGGCAAGUUUCGUUGGCUGUACUAUCAAAGAUAGAAUGAGUGGAUUUGGUGUCAUACCAGUCAUGUUUCGACACUGUACUGACAAAGUUUGAGUUUAUAUUGCCAUCUCAACAAUACAUGGAUAACAUAUUAAAGGUGCAUUCAUGUUUUUUUAUUUGACACCAUGUUGAUUAUAUCAUUUUUAGUUUGAAAAGAACUAUCCCUGAAGUGGUCAGAGCAGUACAAUGUGUGCCUCCAGUCGCCAGGUUGAGCUACUGCGCUAGAUCGUAGCAGUACAAUGUGUGCCACCAGUCGACAGGUUGAGCUACUGCGCUAGAUCGUCAUCGCUGACCGCGUGCCUCCUGCUUGCUCGUGUUUGCAGCCAUCGCGCCACCCGCCGGAUUGCUGUGGAAACUCCUGUUAGGCAUCCUCUCCUGAAUCUGCAUAGUAUUUGCAAAUUACUCCUGUUAGAUGUGAACGCACAGGUACUCUUGGUUCAGUCUGUUUCUUAUGUGAGAUCUGAAGUCGCAAUUUCAGUUAGCUUGGAACUAAAAAUUCAGUUAUCAUGAACCAUAUAUUCAAGUAGAGCAAAAGGUUCUUCUCCUCUAUGAUUUUCUUGGAUGAUUUCCUAAUUAAGACACCGCUGAUUACUUCAAUCCGUUAUGUCUUGAGUAAGCAAGCUGGUCUAACACUAAUGUGCCACUUUACUUGACUUUCUUUUCAUCUAUUUUUCAUCAUGGACUAGGUUUUUCUUAUGGGUUAAUCUGGAAUUCGUUUUUGUAUCAGCUGGAGUGGAGACGACAAAUGGAAGAAUCACAGAGUGAAGGAAAACUGAGAGCACUAUGAUGUUCACUGAACUUCAGAUGACCGUUUUAUUAAAAGAAAAUUUUCGUUUAUUGCAACCAGGGCAGCGCUACAGAGGUACAAGCUUAGUACUAAACUGUUGUUAUGCAUCUGCAUGAUUGUAUAUGUAUCUCUUAAUGUAUGAGGAAGCUCUUCGAUCUAAAAAUGGCUUCAGAGGGUACUUCCAGCAUUUUGAAAUAUUCCACAGGAUAUAUGAAGACAAGCCUAUCCUAGCCAAUCGAUUCUCCGUAAUAAUUUACACUUGCUUUCAUGACUAUCUUCACUUGUGGCCUUCCGCAUCGUUCAACAUUUAAUUUUGAUCUCUGAUGCUUGCACGAGAUGCAAAAUUCUAGGAGCACAGCAUGGAUUUCAAAUUGCUUUUCAGAUGGUAAGUAAGUGCAGAUCCCACACUUUGCUUUUCAUAAUAAUCUCUCUGACAAUGUGUUAUUCUUUGUUGCGUGCAAAGCAUGGGACCGUGUCCAUGACAUCAUAUGUCACAGGGCAACAAACAGCACAAGACAUCUUAUGAGUGGACAUUCGUGAUGGCGUCUUAAGAGACUAGCGAUGUCUGUGUUACCUGCUUCCCUCUGCGAUGAUCCCAUCCAGCAGGCAGGCGGGACUAGCAUGGACCGGGCGAGUGGCAGCGGCGACCGGGAAGGCUGGGUGAUCAACUCAGUUGAGCUAGGAUACAAUUAGAUAGCCACAGCCCACAGGGACAAUUUAGUCCUUUCACGAGCCUACUUAUGUGAGAAGAAAAAAAAUGAAUAAAAGAGGUGCUAAUGGCAUAGUAAUCAAGGUGUCAACGAUCUAAGUGGCCAUUUUAUGGAGUCAAUAUGCAAAGUGGCAAUUUCUCAAAGCCACAUGAAGGAGGUGCCAAAAAUCCAAAUACUACAACUUCAUACAGUCUAGGCCCUUGGCACUUUCUGCUAAGAGAAAAUAUUAGCAACAAUCAGUUUGCAUAAUAUUGAUGUGCUCAUUUAUCAUGGAUGGUUAUCAAAUGCAUUUCACAGAGGUUAAUGUGCCUGGAAGUAUGUAAUAAAGUUAGCUUAUGUGUGAUCACUUACCAAAUUUUAGCUUAUGUGUGAUCACUCUUACCAAAUUUCUGGUAAAAUAUCUAAUGGAACGCAUAAUAUUAUAUCAUGUUCCUACCAUUUUGCAUAAAUUAAUGGGUCCUUUUCAUGAAUAUUCUCCUGUGAGCUCCAUUAUCCAUUGCUUUGGCGGCUUUAUUAGAUGAAAAAAUCAUCACUAACUAAGUAUGUCAAAAGAAUAUCUUAUAUCAUUUUUUAUUAGUUGCUUACAUGUGAUUGUUGUCUUCAACUACAUGGAUUUGGAUCUUUGUGCUCAUCUUAUGCAAGCCAUGUGAGAUUACCUAUUCCAGUUAUUGUGUCAACUGCAAUGUUUUAAUUUUAGGAUCAUAUAUCUACCCUGUAAACAAAGUUAUUCCAUUUAUGUAUUACAAUGUGUAUAUGACUAAGAGUUCAUGCAGCAACGCGCGGGGGUAUCAUCUAGUUUGGUAAGUGGCGAGGCGGAAGACUUUUGUUGUAAUUUACAAAGAUAAGAAAAGAUAUGUGAUUUUUGAUGAAUUAGGGAAGUUAUGAUUGUGAUUCAAUAGUAAGGACAUAAUAAAUGGCUAGUGCGUGGCAUUAGCGAUUUGUCAUUGAGAAAUAUCUGAUUUUUCUGAAAGGUUGUUAGAGGAAAAAUUAUGUCUGUCAUUUAGAAAGAUUUUUUUUGAAAGAUUGUUGGAG
rnacentral:lncRNA from 1 species